rnacentral:rRNA from 1 species
UACGUAGGGUGCAAGCGUUGUCCGGAAUUAUUGGGCGUAAAGAGCUCGUAGGCGGUUUUGUUGCGUCGGCUGUGAAAUCCCGAGGCUCAACCUCGGGUCUGCAGUCGAUACGAGCAAACUAGAGUGUUGCAGGGGAGACUGGAAUUCCUGGUGUAGCGGUGAAAUGCGCAGAUAUCAGGAGGAACACCGGUGGCGAAGGCGGAUCUCUGGGCAACAACUGACGCUGAGGAGCGAAAGCGUGGGGGAGCGAACAGG